UGGAAGCGAAAAUUGAUCUGUCUGAGCUGCGAGUAUUUGACCGCAAUAUAUAUUGACAUGCCAGGUAGAGGCUAAUGUGCCUCCAGUGGACUAUGGUACACCUUCGACAAUCUUAUCUAAAGUCUUUCUUGACUAAGGGACUAUGUUGUGGUAUAGGAGGAAGGGAGGCCAAAGUGGAUUGAUCUGUUCGAGCUGUGAGUAUUUGACCGCAAUAUAUAUUGGCAUGCCAGGUAGAGGCUAAUGUGCCUCCAGUGGACUAUGGUACACCUUCGACAAUCUUAUCCAAAAUCUUUCUUGACUAAGGGAC
rnacentral:lncRNA from 1 species